rnacentral:rRNA from 1 species
CCUACGGGUGGCAGCAGUGAGGAAUAUUGGUCAAUGGACGAGAGUCUGAACCAGCCAAGUAGCGUGAAGGAGGACUGCCCUAUGGGUUGUAAACUUCUUUUAUAGGGGAAUAAAAUGUGGAACGUGUGGGAUGUGGGAGGUACCAUAUGAAUAAGGAUGGGCUAACUCCGUGCCAGCAGCCGCGGUAGUACGGAGGAUCCGAGCGUUAUCCGGAUUUAUUUGGUUUACCGGGAGCGUAGGUGGAUUGUUAAGUCCGUUGUGAAAGUUUGCGGCUCCACCGGAAAAUUGCCGUUGAAACUGGCAGUCUUGAGUACAGUAGAGGUGGGCGGAAUUCGUGGUGUAGCGGUGAAAUGCUUAGCUAUCACGCAGAACUCCGAUUGCGAAGGCAGCUCACUGGACUGCAACUGACACUCAGGCUCGAAAGUGUGGGUAUCAAACAGGAUUAGAUACCCUUGUAGUC